UACGUAGGGGGCAAGCGUUGUCCGGAAUCAUUGGGCGUAAAGCGCGUGUAGGCGGCCCGAUAAGUCCGCUGUGAAAGUCCAGGGCUCAACCCUGGGAUGCCGGUGGAUACUGUCGGGCUCGAGUCCGGAAGAGGAGUGUGGAAUUCCUGGUGUAGCGGUGGAAUGCGCAGAUAUCAGGAAGAACACCCGUGGCGAAGGCGGCUCUCUGGGACGGUACUGACGCUGAGACGCGAAAGCGUGGGGAGCGAACAGG
rnacentral:rRNA from 1 species